rnacentral:lncRNA from 1 species
CAGGUUCUUCAAUUAAUAAUCCUGAGUUCUUUAAUUACUUUUAUUUACAUUCAAGUUAUUUAUUGGAUUCCCGCUUGCAUCAAGUGCUCUAAUCUUUGCAACAUUAGAGUAGUAAUUAAUAGAUUAGACGUGGUGUUUAGUCUUGCAAUUACCUGGAAUUGCACCUAAUCCUGCGGAUUGUUGUGGUAGCCUUAGGGUAGUGACAGCCCUAACGGUCGACGUAUUCCACCUCGUUCGGAUCGGUGUUUGUAGGACCGUAGUCAGACCUUCCUAGCCCCCUUCUCAUCUCUUUCUGUGGUUAGUGCUCUGAUGUCCCGAUAUAGAUAAUCUUGAAGUAAUUCUUGAUUCUUAGAUCAACUAGAGAACUCUCAGGAAAUUUCCUCUCUUCCCACCAAAAACAAUUAUAUAGUUAUCCCUGGGCGAUCUUGAUUCUUAAUUAGUACACUCACGUUCUCUGUGGAAAAUCGAUACUAUGGAAUACUCCCGGGUGAAAGCUACAUCGGUAUCCGUGCGCUUGCGGAUUUUUCUGUUUGCGUUUAAAAUACCCAACAGUGCUGCCAACAUUCAAAUACACCUACGCCACCUGCUAGCUACAUCAGAAGAAAUUAUGUUAAAAUCCACCUUGGGGGAGAGCACCUCUAUUUAUCCAGCUAAGUGUUUCUACUCACAUUUAUACCUUACUCAAAUAAUAAAAAAUGCAUAAUCAUAAAAACCUAAUUAAACAUUUUGUGCUUAUAUAUAUCUUUGCUUAGUUUGCUAAAUAAAUAAAUAAAGUGUCCAUGCCAAACUGAACUUCAAUGAUAAAGUCUUACAUGGAUAUGAUGAAUAGUUGCUCUGCCAAGUACCUAGUUUUCAAAUUUGAGCUCUCUCUCAAGUUUAGGCAUAACUGUUAUAAUUUAAAACUUGCUCUAAACCUGAAUUUGCGGAAAGAGUCCCUGAUCAAAAGUCUAAGUCGUUAACAGAUAUGAUAUGGAAAGGUUGAGCUGAUGUUUAUCUGUUCCUAGACAUGCUUAUUAGACUAUGAACCAUACAUUUACUUUUUACUACUUAUGAGCAUUGAGUGUGGUCAAGCUGUGUAGACCCUUAGGAGCUUGUCAUGUGGUUAAAAUCAAGAUUCACUUGCACGUUCACUCAUACAUGCUACUUCUACUCUGGAAGUACGCAUCCACAUACAUCCACUCAUUUCCAUAUCCAGAUUCACCCAAAAUUAUUCUACUCCUAUCUAGGAGAGAAUAGCCAAAAACAUUAUCCUAUCCUUAUUAUUCCCCGUGAAAUAAAUGCUCGAGAUAUUUUGGUUACUACCACUUGCUACAUUAUUCCAGGAGGUUGAGUGCUCUGAAAAAAAGUGAAUACGAGGAAAUAAAAAGGGGCAAGUGCCCGAAACCUCGAAAAAAAGAAAAAAAAGUGAGACGAGAGGUAAAAAUGGACAAGUGUCCGACAAUAGAAUUAGGGGUACAAGAUACCCACCUGAGAGAAAAGGAAAAAGAAAAUAUAGAGCAUUUCAUUCCCCUCAAAAAGCUUCAAAGUGCAAGAAAGGUAUGUAUCCCCUCAAAAGAGCAAAAGUAGAAUUAGACUUUCACCAUUAUUUUCACCAUUAUCACUAUUCAUUCGCCACACAUGCACAUCUUGAUUUGACUUAUUGACUUAUUCUUUUGGAUCCAUGGUUUGACUAUGCAAUAAGUGUCUUGUAAGUAUGUAUUAGCUGACUCCCACCUAUGAGCUCCAGAUAUCAAAACCUUAUUAGAGUAGGGUGAGAAAGAAGGCAAUACCACUAUGCCUCAUACCAAAAAUACCACAUACUUUGAGAGAAGGCAUACACCAUUACUGCCUUGGUAUGGAUCCAGAAAUACCACAAAAGAGAGACUAGAGAGAGUCAUACAAGGAAUUUCUGAGUUUUAUUUGAAAAUCUGCAAAAACUCCAGAGCUAUAGUUAAUCGAAGGACAAGAGACAUGGCGCUUGACUAGACCGUUCUAUCUUUUAACUGCUCAAGACAUAAGUGAUGGUUGCAAGCCCCAUGGUGGAAGGUAAAAUGAGUAAGUUCAAAUCUUAACAGUUUACCCUAACCCAGAGAUGAGAUCUUGUUUGAACGCAUGUGUACCUUUAAGGCAAGAAACCACUUUAGAAACUCUUGAGUCCAUCUUUGCUCAGGGACGAGCAAAGGUUAAGCUUGGGGGAGCUUGUUGACGGUCCUUAAUGCUCACAUUUAACCGUCAACUAAUCAUGAAAAAGGAUCCAAAUGCAACCGACACCUAGACUUAGGGUUUCAUCUGACAGAUUUCCAUGAGUUUUGGUGUUUAUCUAUUUCUACAGGGGGUUAUCAGAAAAUACGAAGGAAAGGCCCACAUGUCGGGUUUACAUAGAGAAUUAAUGUGUGCGGUAAUUUUCUAUAAUCAAGAAGACUCUAGAAGCCACUCGACCGAAGCGGAGCCGAGACGGGCCUGGGACCAGGGCGCCCGUCCUUGACCCUAGGGUGCCCGCCCUGGUACAUGCACCAAUCACAGAAUGAAGUACACCAUUACAAAGAUCUCGUCGAGCUUAUCGAAAUGCAUAUAUUAUUUGCUAUAUUUGGAGUUCGGAAUCAAGAGAUAUUAAUAAAAGAAGGACUCCACAUAAAAGAGCUGCGGGAUUAAUUGGACCCAAAUCAGAUUUUGGUCCAUUAAGGCCUAUGUGCAUUUGUAAUACCCGAUUUUAAGGACAAAACCAGAUAUACACCAUAUGUGAGUCUUAGAAGUCAAAUCUCACAUAUAGCUACAAAUAACGGGUAAUAUCAAAAGACAAUGCGUAAAUUAUAACGUACUUAGUGUAAAAGAUAUAACCUUUGAUAGCAACAGCGGACAAACAACUCCAAACUUCGGGUAUUAACUUCUCUCUACAGGAUCCAACUGACUGGUUGAUCACAAGCCUAAAACAUCUCCUAAAGUGUGCGGGAAAUUGCAAGAGAGAGCACAUAUCGUACUCAACAAGUAUAGGGGUUCAUGAGGCUCAAUAAGCUGACACUGGUUUGACUGCAUUUAGCUUUUAUAUGUGAAUAGCAUAUUUAAUCAUUGGAUAGAAAUAUCAAGGUAGCAUAGUAAAUCCCAUAACCACAUGAUCAAUUGUAUACAAGAAUUAUGAAUAACACAUAUAAACAACAUAAUAAACCAUCAUUUAUCAUCAUUAAUCAUGUUCAUCAGUGUCCGUCUAUUCCGUCAGUUUUCCGGGCCGCCCGUAUCCAUGGGCACGGCUAGUAUACCAGAUUUAACACUCUACAGAGGUUGUACAUCUUUACCCAUGAGUCGUGGUUUACCCUUUCGCCCGAGGUUGCAAGUCUCUUAACCCCCUUCCUAGGGAGGUCGGCAGGGAUCACUAUGAAGCCUUACAAAGGUUUUGUCUAACAAGUUAGGCCAUUAGAUUCACUCGGUAGGCAGAUAUAGAGCCUCCCUUCCAUGGCACAUAACCCGCAGCCUAUACACAUGGACAGAGGCCACACUAUACCCAACGUGUCUAGCCAUUCUUACGCCAUUUAAGGUAACCACUAACAAGCUAGAAAAGGGUCCUCAUACUGAGCUAAAACCAGAGCCAUAUAGCCCUCAUCGUUGUACGAGUUGUCCCAGCUUUUGCCAAGGGAUAAGUCCUUAUGGAGGGUCAAGAUCAAUCUAGCAAAAGCUAGAGUUCUUUCCACCCUUUAUGUUCAAGUUGCGAGAAAGCUUAUUUUAUUGUUUAUUGUAUAUCUAAAUAUUCAUGUUACAAGAUCAUGGAUUAUUAAUCAAGCACUAGCAAGAACUACCCAAAUGCAUAUCCAAAUAGGUAAUCAAGGAAUUCAGGAUAACAAUCAUCUAUGAUUUGGCCAAGGUCAUCAAGGUGGACACAUGCAUAUGAUAAAUAUUGUAUUAAUUGUGUAUAGGUAACAAGGAUGAUCCAAGCUAUACUUACCUUGAUCAAAGCUCUCCUGAGCCUGCUGCUGGUCUUCAAAAGAUUGACCUCGAUCACCAACGUAUCACUCACCGUCUAUACCGAUCGUCAAUCAACAACACGCAAUCUAAUAUAGACAAUCAUACACGAAGCAAACAAGCUAUAAUUAGAACAAUACACCAAACAGUGGUAAAACAAAUAUAAAAGUUUAUCAAAAUAUUCUACGCAGCACUACGAUCACACAAACGUAAAGAUCACGAAAAUCGAAGUUAAAACGUAGAAGAUAUGAAUUUUCUAAGAUUUUAUGGAGAAAAGAAAUUAAUUAAUUAAAGUCACGAAAAUAAAAAGUUUUAAACUGAGAAAACCAUUUUUCUAACAUGUAGAGCUCAUGAAAACGAACCUAACGCAAUUUGAAUGGGUCAAAUCGGAGUUAGAAUGAAUAUUUUAUAGCCAAAAGAAAUCCAGUGGCAAACUUGUAAUUUGAUGAAAACGUAUUUUGAGCGAAACCCGAGAUAAAAUACGUUUUCUAAAGGACAUAGCGUGUUUCUGGAAAGGCGUAAAGGACUGCGGGUUUAUUUAGAAAAACUCCGAGGGCUCUUUAUCAAAAUAUACCCCGAAGAGGUAUCUUCUAAUCUCGGCCCUUGGUUUUGGAUCGGAUGGCUCAGAAUGAUUCCAGGGGGGUGAGGGGAGUUCCCUGGCCAGAACAGAGGGAGUCCACGGUGGCUCCAUGGCCGGAAAAGAGCAGAGCUCGCCGGAGUUGCUGGAGAAGGCACUAGGAAGCUCGGUUUUCGACGGGAAAAGUUCCGGGAGCAAGAGAGGACCCUCACGAACUCACCUGGGGGUUAUCGAAGCUCGGGGAGGUCUCGGGAGAGGCGCGCGACGCAAACCUCGGACAGGAGUUUCCCUGGACACUUCGGCGACCUGCGACGAGUGACACAGAGCAUGAAUUCACGAGGGGUAAGACUCAGGGGCUUCGCAAACGCAGCACGAAGCUCGGUAGAAAGGUUACGGUGCUCUGGACGCAGCAGGUGGCGAAACCCACGACGGCGGCGAAUUCGUUCGUCGGAGAGAUCCGAACCGUGGCGAGAGAGCUGCUGGGGCAGCUUCACGUCGCGUGAAACAGAAGAGAGGGUCGAGAGGGAGAGCACAGGGCUUUAUUGACCUGGAGAAGAUCUCCUAACGCGCGAAAUCCUGGCCUGAGCGGGAUUCGGUUUCCACUGAGAGCCCGGGGUCGGUCUGGACUCGAGGGAGAAGAAAGGAAGAGCGGGAUUCGGUUUCUUUUUUUUCCAAAACAUUUUUCCAAAUAGAGUUUUGUGUGCAAAUAAUUUUUAACUAAAAGCAACAUGCAUAACAUAAAAUAUGCUCCAGCAUGAAUGCACAAUCAAGGUUGCUAAACUUACGCUAAAUUUUAUUUUCCACAAAAAAUUAUUUAAGCACUAAAUUUAAAUGCUCACAAAAAUAUACUUAAUUAAAUCAAAUUAAAUCCUAUUAAUUGAAAUCAAAUUUUUGGGUGUUACAGCAUUUUAAUGAGAUAUGGUGGAAAGUUUAGUACCACAUCGCCUGCUGAACCAAAAACGCACAAAGGAGGAGGACUAUAUAAGCAAGGCCCCUGGCCCCUGGAGGAGAACACAUCAAUAUAGAGUUGAGAGGUGCCCUCGAAGGAUAACCUUUCCUCUAUAGAGAAUUAGGGCUAGACAUUCCAAUGUAGUAGAUUAGUUCUAGUCGGGAGUUAGGUAGAGCGGAGCUGCGCUCCGGUUCUGGAGAAGUCUUCAGAGUUUUGGUAUGUCUUUAUAUUUAUUGUAAGACUUAUCCUUUAAUAUAUUUAUCUUCUCUAUUUACUUUUAUGCCUUUAUUAUUAUCGAGUAGUGUAGUUGUUAUAUUUUGGCAUAGGAUCUCCGUUCGGAUCGAGUGCUCUAGUUAUUCAUGGUAAUUAGAGUAGUAAUCGUUAGUGUAGACGUGGUGUCUAUACUAGAGGUUACCUGAGGUUGCACCCAGUCCCGCGGAUUGUUGUGGUAGCCCUAGGGUAGUGACAGCCCUAACGGUCGACGUAUUCCACCUCAUUCGGAUCGGUAUUUGUAGGACCGUAGUCAGAGCUUCCCAGCCCCCUUCUCAUCUCUUUCUGUGGUUGGUGUUCUAAUGUCCCAAAGUGCUAAUAUGUGAUUGCUAUAUCUAUUCAUUCUUUGUUAUCAUAGAACUGAAGUAAUAGAGAAGUAUACAGGAAUCCAGGUCUCUCCCGUUGUCCUCCCGCUAUGGCUAUCUACGCAUUUAUCAUAGAAUUCUCACCUUUAUAUUAUUACCUAUCAUAUAUCAUUUACCCCUACUUUAGUCUAGUUGGUUUAUUAAAUUAGUAGAUCCAUGAUAGUAAGUUAUCAGAUUCUUUGACCUUAGCUUCCCAGUGGUAAAAUAUAAAUAACGAUACCUGGAAUACUCCCGGUAAAAUGCUACGAUGAUGUUCUGUGCGCUUGCGGAAUUUUUCUUAUUCUUAUUGCACUUAACGAAUGUCAACACCUUCCUUGUUCUGAAACUUUCUCAGUUCAACAUGGGCAACCUAAUCUUGCUUAUCCUCAUCAUGAAAAUAGAAGGUCUCUACACAACUAAUAAAUCCUUCUAUUAUUGUGGGCUCAUCAAAGAUUGCUGGAUUAGCAUAACUGUAGUGUGAUUCAAUAAAUAAUAUGUCAAAUGUAGUGGAGAAUCAAGUCUUCCAUUCAUCUUCUUGUCAAUAACAACAAUUACCUCCUUGAACUGAGACUCAUUAUUGCACAUGGCCUCCUUGAUCUCUCUAUGCCUUUAGUAGUUCUCCAUAAACGAAACCCAUGGAUGGCUUCACAUCCCCAUCAACCAAGCGGAGAACAUUGAAUAGUGGAUCAAAAACACUCAUUGUUAGCUUCACAUCUUUCUAGAAGUUUGGAUUCAAUAUAAUGGUUGUGGCAUCUUUUCCUUUCUUUGAUUUUACAUCCCUCGGUGAGUCCCACCUACUAUGAACCACUAUCUUUCUUAGCCGGUCCUUCUUCUCUAGUAUGCUAUUCAAUGUGAGAAAAAUUGAAGCAAACCUAGUCACUCCUGGUCUUACUAUCUCUUUCCUCUCUGUGAAGUAUCUCAUGCAUUCUAAUGUUCUUGUGUGCCCAUAGACAAAUAUAGUUAAUGCCUUUGCUUGCUCAAUCACCUUCUUGAACCGAGCCAAAUUGCCAAUUCCUUCCAGCAUCAGGUUUAAUGUGUGAGUUACACAAGAGGUCCAAAAUAUUUGUGGUCUCUUCUCAAGCAAUAGCUUCUUUGCUCCCAUGUUGUUAGAGGCAUUGCAUAUCACUACUUGCACCACAUUUUCUAGACCAAUGUCUUCAAUUGCUUUGUCCACUAGUUCAAGGACGACUUCACUUGUGUGUGACACAUGUGACAUCUCUUUUGAUCUAAUAAAACUGGUUCCAUUACCACAAUUAGUGUAUAGAUUCAUUAUGCUUCUCCUCUUCCUAUCUGACCAAGCAUCGGUCAUAAUAGAGCACCCAUUCUUGAUCUUCUUGGCUUCACGUUAUUGUAGCAAACUCUUGGUUCUUGCAUAUUCUUCUUCCAGCAAUCUCUCUCGUAGAUCAUACUGACUUGGAGGUUCAAGUCCAGCCCCAAAUUGUCUAAUUGCUUCACACAUCUGCUUAAACUCAUUGUUGUCACAUGCGUUGAAUGGUAUUGCUACCAAUGUUACAAAAAAAGAAGGUUAAUUAGUGUUUAGUACAGCUAUAAUAGCAUCUAAUGAAUUCUAAAAUAUAAAUACAGAAUAGGAAAUUACCAUGAGUAUAGACCCAUCUUGCAAUAUAUUUAUGCACCUCAUGUGUUCUUUCUUUCCAAAGCUCUUUGUUCAGCUUUUGUUGAGUCAAAGAUUCAGAUUUGGUUGCUUUAGGAUCAAUAGCAUGUGUCCAUUUGUCAAUGGGUCCUAAUUUGUGAGGCUCUGAACUUCCAAUACAAGUGACUUCCUCUGACUCUCCACUUCCAACCCGAGAAACAUUCAUUUCCUCUCUAAGUUCUAGCUCACGAACAGUCUUCUCCUCCCUUUUCCUUUUUGCAUCAUCUAGUGCUUUCUUGCACUUCUCUUUAGCCUCCUGUGUGGUGGCCUUGCAUUUUGCCACAUUCUUUCCUUCAUGGGCCACAUGUUGCUUCAACCUUUAAAUCCCUCCUUGCAUCACUUUGUCAUAGAGUUUGCACUUCACCUUGUCCUUGUUGGUAGGAUCAACAAGAACCCCAUAUUCCCAUCCCACAUCGUCUAAAUUCCUUCUCACGAUAUUCGCUCCCUCGGUUUCAAGUGUAGAUGCAGCUUCUGUUGUUGACAUCCUACAUUCAAGAGUUCAGUGACCACACAAUCUAGAAUCCACACAUUCAUAUUCAGAGUUCAGUGAGCGCACAUUUAGAUUGACACUUUAGUGAGCAGUGAGCACACAUAAUACAGAGAAUCAGAUACAUACAUUCAGAUUCAGGCAAUCAUAGAAUACACAUACAUACAUGCAGAUUUAGAUUCAUUCAUUUUAGAGAAUCAGAUUUAGUGUAAUACCUGAUUUUAAGGAUAAAACCAGAUAUGACCAUAUGUGAGUUUUAGAAGCCAAUUCUCACAUAUAGCUACAAAUAAGGGGUAGUAUCCAAAGACGAUGCAUAAAUAUAUAACGUACUUAGUAUAAAAGAGAUAACCUUCGAUAGCAAACAGCGGAUAGUCAACUCCAAACUUUGGGUAUUAACUUCUCUCUACAGGAUCCAACUGACUAGUUGAUCACAAGCCCAAAACUUCUCCUGAGGGGUGGGGGAAAUAGCAAGAGUGAACACAUAUCGUACUCAACAAGUAUAACCAGGGGUUCAUGAGGCUCAAUUAGCUGACAUUGGUUUGACGGUGUUUAGCUUUUAUAUGUAGAUAGCAUAUUUAGUCAUUGGAUAGCAAAUAUCAAGGUAGCAUAUUAAAUCCCAUAACCACAUGAUCAAUGUAUACAAGAAUUAAGAAUAACACAUAUAAACAACAUAAUAAACCAUCAUUUAUCAUCAUUAAUCAUGUUCAUCAGUGUCCAUCUAUUCCGUUAGUUUUCCGGGCCACCCGUAUCCGUGGGCACGGCUAGUAUACCAGAUUUAACACUCUGCAGAGGUUGUACAUCUUUACCCAUGAGUCAUGAUUUACCCUUUUGCCCGAGGUGAUCAGCCUCUUAACCCACUACCAAGGAAGGUCGACAGGGAUCACUAUGAAGUCUUUCAAAGGUUCGUCUAACAAGUUAGAGCCGCUUGGUUUCAUUAGUCAGUCCAUGUGAUCCACCCCUAGGAAUCCACGGUCUGCUAUUCCCCAAUUGCGCCACAUGGGUAACCGCUAACGAGCUAGAAAAUUACUCAUACUUGACUAAAGCCAGAGCCAUAUAGCCCUCAUGGUUGUACGAGUUGUCCCAGCUUUUGCCAAGGGAUAAUUCCUUAUGGAGGGUCAAGAUCAAUCUAGCAAAAGCUAGAACUCUUUUCAUCCUUUAUGUUUAAGUUGCUAGAAAGCUUAUUUUAUUGUUUAUUGUAUAUCCAAAUAUUCAUGUUACAAGAUCAUGGUUUAUAAUCAAGCACUAGCAAGAACUACCCCAAAUGCAUAUCCAAAUAGGUAUCAAGGAAUUCAAGAUAACAAUCAUCUAUGAUUUUACUAGGGUUGUCAAGGUGGACACAUGCAUAUGAUAUAUGUAUUAAAAGUGUGUAGGUAACAAGGAUGGUCCCAAGUUAUACUUGCCUUAAUCCAAAUGCUCUUGUUGAUCCUGCUGGUCUUACUAGUUGCCAAAGCUCUGAUCUUGAUCACCAAAAACUGCUCUCCGACUAAGCUCGAUCAUCGAUCAUCAACACACAAACAAUCAGAGACAACAUACACGAAGCAAUCAAGGCUACAAUUAGAACAGUACACCAAUCAUAUAAAAACAGUAUGAAAAGUUUAUAAAAUGAUUCUAUGCAUCGCUACGAUCUCAAAGACGUAAAGAUCACGAAAAUUAGAAUUAAAACGGAGAAUAUAUGAGUUUUCUAAGAUUUUAUAUAGAAAAGUAAUUAAUGAAUAAGGUCACGAAAUUAAAAAGUUUCAAACUGGUGAAUUAAGUUUACUAACAUGUAGAGCUCAUUAAAAUGAAUCCAACACAAUUUGAAUGGAUCAAAAUGGAAUUAAAAUGAAUAUUUUAUGGCUAAAAUAAAUUCAGUGGCAGUUUUGUAAAUACCAGAAAGCGUAUUUUGAAGUAACCCGAGACAGAUUACGUUUUCAAAACGACAAAACGUAUUUUCUAACUACGUGAAGGACUGCGUGUUUGAUAUAUAAAAAGUCCAGGGGCUCUUUAGAAAAACGUCCAGCGUAUCCUUGAUUUCUGGCCGUUGGAUCACGACUAAAUGGCUUGGAUUAGAUCUGGGAAGAGAGAAAGAGAGGUGGCCUGGCGGAACAGAAACUCCAGCCGGCGAUCCACCAUUGUCGGCAUGAAAAGGUCACCGGAGUUCAAAGAAAAAUACGCUAGAGGCCACUAAUCGAUGCACCGAGAGCAUGAGCAGAUAGAGGGGGUCAACGUGAGCUUACUAUUGACGGUCCUUAAUGCUCACAUUUAACCAUCAACUAAUCAUGAAAAAGGAUCCAAAUGCAACCGACACCUAUACUUAGGGUUUCAUCUGAUAGAUUUUCACGAGUUUUGGUGUUUGUCUAUUUCUGCAGGGGGUUAUCAGGAAAUACGAAGGAAAAGCCCACACAUCGGGAUUACAUAGAGAAUUAAUGUAUGCAGUAAUUUUCCAUAAUCAGGAAGACUCUAGAAGCAACUCGACCGAAGCGGAGCCGAGACGGGUCUUGGGUCGGGGCGCCCGCCCUUGAUCCUAGGGCGCCCGCCCUAGUACAAGCACCAAUCACAGAAUGGAGUUCACCAUUACAAAGAUCUCGUCGAGCUGAUCGAAAUGCAUAUAUUAUUUGUUAUAUUUGGACUUCGUAAUCAAAAGAUAUUAAUAAAAGAAAGACUCCACAUAAAAGAGCUGCGGGAUUAAUACGGGCCCAAAUCAGAUUUUGGUCCAUUAAGGCCUAUGUGCAUUUUAAUGAGAUAUGGUGGAAAGUUUAGUACACAUCGCCUGCUGAACCAAAAACGCACAAAGGAGGAGGACUAUAUAAGCAAGGCCCCUGGCCCCUGGAGGAGAACAUAUCAUUAUAGAGUUGAGAGGUGCCCUCGAAGGAUAACAUUUCCUCUAUAGAGAAUUAGGGCUAGACAUUCCAAUGUAGUAGAUUAGUUCUAGUCGGGAGUUAGGGAGAGCGGAGCUGCGCUUCGGUUCUGGAGAAGUCUUCAGAGUUUAUUGUAAGACUUAUGCUUUAAUAUAUUUAUCUUCUCUAUUUACUUUUAUGCCUUUAUUAUUAUCGAGUAGUGUAGUUGUUAUAUUUUGGCAUAGGAUCUCCGUUCGCAUCGAGUGCUCUAGUUAUUCAUGGUAAUUAGAGUAGUAAUCGUCAGUAUAGACGUGGUGUCUAUACUAGAGGUUACCUGAGGUUGCACCCAGUCCUGCAGAUUGUUGUGGUAGCCCUAGGUUAGUGACAGCCCUAACGGUCGACGUAUUCCACCUCGUUCGGAUCGGUAUUUGUAAGACCGUAGUCAGAGCUUCCCAGCCCCCUUCCAGUUCUCUUUCUAUGGUUGGUGCCCAAAGUCCUAAUAUGUGAUUGCUAUAUCUAUUCAUUCUUUGUUAUUAUAGAACUGAAGUAAUAGAGAAGUAUACAGGAACCCAGGUCUCUCCCGUUGUCCUCCCGCUAUGGCUAUCUACGCAUUUAUCAUAGAAUUCUCACCUUUAUAUUAUUACCUAUCAUAUAUCAUUUACCUCUACUUUAGUCUAGUUGGUUUAUUAAAUUAGUAGAUGCAUGAUAGUAAGUUAUCAGAUUCUUUGACCUUAGCUCCCCAGUGGUAAAAUAUAAAUAACGAUACCUCGAAUACUCUCGGUAAAAUGCUACAAUGAUGUUCUGUGCGCUUGCGGAAUUUUUCUUAUUCUUAUUGCACUUAACGAAUGUCAACAAGCAUUUUUGGCGCCGUUGCCGGGGAAGCAAUUGGUGUGAAGAUUUUGAUAAUAAUCUUGAUGUCUGCUAAUUUAAUGUAUCACUAGCUUUAGUAGGUUUAUUGUAUUUAUCUUUUCUGCAUUUGUUUUCAGCAUAUUUAUUUCUCCAUAACAUAUUUAUCUUUCUGCAUUAUUAUUGCAUUAAAAAAUAUAAUAAAAAUAUUUAUAUAACUCAUUGCAUCUUAAAUACUAAAACCCCAUGUGAAUAAAUUGUGUGGUGUGUAAAAUCCCACACGGAUAUUCACCGUGGUGGAAUAAAAAAAUAAAAAUAAAUAAACAUGCAUUCAUCCUAUUCCAUUUUCUUUUUGCUUCAUAGAAAGAUUAAAACCCAAAAAAAAUAUAUAUAUUGAGAAAGAUAUCUUGUUGAAACUCUGCUUAGAAAAAGAAUUAAGAAAAAUCAAAAAAGCUCGGACAACUAAGGCUUAAGUGGCCAACUAUUAAUGUUUAAUCGGUGCCACAAGUUUUGUUGUCUAUUUGAGUUUAACAUGAUUUAAAGAGAGAAACCCCAAUGAUCAAGAUAUCUUCAUCAACUUGGAAGUGCUACAAUCAUCACUGACAUUUUGAAGCUCAAGAAUAUUGAAGAACAUCUGUGUUGUGCGGAUUCAAGAUUAAAGACUAUGUCAACAUUCAGCUCGGGGGAAGCAAUCCCGUUAUCUUUGCGAUUCAGGCUUGAAGUAAAAGAGUGAAGAAUAACAAGGUAUGUCCAACCAAUCAUCAUGCAACAUUGAAUUAAAUUCAUCCAAACUUGACUUGUUCAAGCUGGGGGGAAUACCUUACACAAAAACAUCCUUUGCUAUGUUGUUAUGUUGGUUGUCCCUACCCUUAAGACAUGCUCAAAUUGUUAAACACUAAUCAUUCUAUUUCAUCCCCACUUGAGUAGAUCUCUAUAAUGUUGUCAUGCUACCUUUGUCUAUUCACAAGUAAGUGUUGGUUUGAAAGUACUCGACAUACUUCCAUUGGCAUUUAAAUUAAGCAUGGUGCUUAGGUUAAAUAGUCUUCCUUAAUCCGAUUAGACAUGGAGUCUAGUUUGGUUAUUGAACUAAAAACUGCUUGUGUAGACACUGGUAUAUUUUGUUGGACUAACCCCUGCAGGAUAAUUUUCAAUAUCGAUUUGAGAAGUCCUGAGAUAAAUUCAGAAUGGAGAUAAAGAAGGAGACACAUGAAGUUUAACAAUUUGCACAAGAAAGACAUAGCUCGAGAGAUAAUCCAUGGAACGAGACGAAGAGUGCCACGAACAAGAUGCACAACCAUUGAGAAAGAAAAGCUUCUACAAGGUGAUAUUGUACCAUCACUCUUCAAUUAAGGUAACAUCUUAAGGUAUGUGACUGUCACUGUUAUAAGCUUCUCCUUGAUUCUGGCAUGCAGUUGGAUAAAAAGACAAACAUGUAUGAUUUAUAACUCCAAAUUAACCAACCCAAUUGAUUCAACAUGUUUAGUCCUUUAAUCUUUGUUUCCAGUACUACCUUCUUGAUCCCACACUCUUAACCAUAUGAGCUAAAAUGUUGCACAUCCGAUCUUUGGAAAAUGAUAGUCAUGUAAAGAAAAAAACAUUACUUAGAUAGAUUAUCUUUCCAUAAGGUUGAGUGAUCUGAUCUGACAAAUGUUUUAAACGCUACACUCAUGAUCUUAUCAUCCAUCAACUUUGUCUUGCUCACUAUGCUUAAGGUUAGAGAAGAACAAAUACACUUUUGGUUCUAUUGGUGUUUUCCACCAACAAGGCCCAUGCACUUUAUCUCUGCCUUGUCUCUAUGAGCAGGAUACACUUCGAGCAAAACAUGGAGGAGUUUCCAACUCCUGGACUCUACCAAGUGAAGGACCUGGAUCUACGAGCACAAACACACUGAGGAGGAUGCUGCCAACGCCGUGCUUCGAACUGCUGGGCAAACGAAAAACAUGGGUGACACCGUAUCAAGAGGUGCAGAUGUCAAGGUCCACACCUAACUCAAAUGACGCACCUAAAGAAUAAACACGGUGAGAAUUCUUGUUCAGAAGACUUAAAAUAAUGAACCCUCGCCGAAAGGUAAAAUCGGUAGUUAUGCAUAUUUAUCCUUUCUGCAUUCCCUUCUUUCUUAAAUUAUUUACUUUCCUUAAAUAGCUUGUUAGUUAAUCAUGCUAUCUUGAAAAGAAAAUAAAAAUGUUAAAAACAGUAAGCCCCAUGUGAGUAUGCUCGUGGCACAAAACCCAUUCACUGUGGUGGCGUAAAAAUAAAAUAAAUAUAUUCUUGUCCUGUAAAAAUGAAAAUAUAAAAAUAAAUUUAUGAUCCUACUAAAGAGUAAUAUUUAUUAGAGGAAGCUCAACAUGAUAAAGGCUAAGAAAUUUUAUGCUAACACUUAACCAGUUCCACAAAGCUUUGUUGUCUACUUGAGCUCCACAGAAUUCAAGGAUCAAGAAAGACUAGCAGACGUAGGAUAUCCUAAUCGCUAUCAGGGUGCUGCCAACAUUCAAAUACACCUACGCCACCUGCUAGCUACAUCAGAAGAAAUUACAUUAAAAUCCAGCUUGGGGGAGAGCACCCCCAUUUAUCCAGCUAAGUGUUUCUACUCACAUUUAUACCUUACUCAAAUAAUAAAAAAAUACAUAAUCAUAAAAACUCAAUUAAACAUUUUAUGCUUAUAUAUAUCUUUGCUUAGUUUGCUAAAUAAAUAAAUAAAGUGUCUAUGCCAAACUGAACUUCAAUGAUAAACUCUUACAUGGAUAUGAUGAAUAGUUGCUCUGCCAAGUACCUAGUUUUCAAAUUUGAGCUCUCUCUCAAGUUUAGGCAUAACUAUUAUAAUUUAAAGCUUGCUCUAAACCUGAAUUUGUGGGAAGAGUACCUGAUCAAAAGUCUAAGUCGUUAACAGAUAUGAUAUGGGAAGGUUGGGCUGCUGUUUAUCGGUUCCUAGAGAUGCUAGAAUUCUGGAGAAUUUUAUCUUUAAAAAUCUUUAAAUUGUUGCAUGAUGAGUUCCUGUAUGAUGAGAGUUUUAAAAUCCUACCACAGCCAUAUAUACAAGCUUAUUAGACUAUGAACCAUACAUUUACUUUUUACUGCUUAUGAGCAUUGAGUGUGGUCAAGCUGUGUAGACCCUUAGAAGCUUGUCAUGCGGUUAAAAUCAAGAUUCACUUGCACGUUCACUCAUACAUGCUGCUUCUACUCUAGAAGUACACAUCUACAUACAUCCACUCAUUUCCAUAUCCAGAUUCACUCAAAAUUAUUCUACUCCUAUCUAGGAGAGAAUAGCCAAAAACAUUAUCUUAUCCCUGUUAUUCUCCGUGAAAUAAAUGCUCGAGAUAUUUUGAUUACUACCACUUGCUACAUUAUUCCAGGAGGGUGAGUGCUCUGAAAAAAGUGAAUACGAGGAAAUAAAAAGGGGCAAGUGCCUGAAACCUCGAAAAAAAAAAGAAGAAGAAGAAAAAGAAAAAGUGAGACGAGAGGUAAAAAUAGACAAGUGUCCGACAGUAGAAUUAGGGGUACAAGAUACCCACCUAAGAGAAAAGAAAAAUAAAAUAUAGAGCGUCUCAUUCCCCUCAAAAUCCUUAAGUGCAAGAAAGGUAUGUACCCCCUCAAAAGAGAAAAAGUAGAAUUAGACUUUCACCUUUAUUUUCACCAUUAUCACCAUUCAUUCGCCACACAUGCACAUCUUGAUUUGACUUAUUGACUUGUUCUUCUGGAUCCAUGGUUUGACUAUGCAAUAAGUGUCUUGUAAGUAUGUAUUAGCUGUAUCCCACCUAUGAGCUCCAGAUAUCAAAACCUUAUUAGAGUAGGGUGAGAGAGAAGGCAAUACCACUAUGCCUCAUACCAAAAAUACCACAUACUUUGAGAGAAGACAUACACCAUUACUGCCUUGGUAAGGAUCCAGAAAUACCACAAAAGAGAGACUAGAGAGAGUCAUACAAGGAAUCUCUGAGUUUUAUUUAAAAAUCUGCAAAAACUCCAGAGCUAUAGUUAAUCGAAGAACAAGUGACAUGGCGCUUGACUAGACCGUUCUAUCUUUUAACUCCUCAAGACAUAAGUGACGGUUGCAAGCCCCAUGGUAGAAGGUAAAAUGUGUAAGUUUAAAUCUUAACAGUUUACCCUAACCCAGAGAUGAGAUCUUGUUUGAACGCAUGUGUACCUUUAAGGCAUGAAACCACUGCAGAAACUCUUGAGUCCAUCUUUGCUCAGGGACGAGCAAAGGUUAAGCUUGGGGGAGCCUGUUGACGGUCCUUAAUGCUCACAUUUAACCAUCAACUAAUCAUGAAAAAGGAUCCAAAUGCAACCGACACACUUAGGGUUUCAUCUGAUAGAUUUUCAUGAGUUUUGGUGUUUGUCUAUUUCUGUAGGGGGUUAUCAGGUACGAAGGAAAGGCCCACACGUCGGGUUUACAUAGAGAAUUAAUGUGUGCGGUAAUUUUCCAUAAUCAGGAAGACUCUAGAAGCAACUCGACCGAAGCGGAGCCGAGAC